AGCUGGGUAGUCAUAUUGCCAAAAUGCCCUGACCACAAUUACAAGCUUCUCCCUCUAUAACACCGGCGUCACCUGCAGCUCCUCCUUCUUCGCUGUCGAUCAUGACCUUGCACACCGUGCCUCCUCUUCCUCUACCGUUACUUAUGAUCCUGGACAAGGCUGUGGUGUUCAAGUUGUGUCUUAUUCUUCCUCACUGCCUUCUUUCUCCAAUUUUUCUUGCACCCCACCCCCAAAUCCCUCCUGAUCUUCCCUUUUCUUCUCAAUUCAUCCUUGAGAGAUGUUGCCAAUAAUGAAGUUCUCAAAGCUAGUGGCAAAAACAAAAACAUUAAUUUGAUUAUCACUCUUCCCACUCGACUCCACCCACUUCUUAUUUUGGGGCACCUUGAUUCAAUUGUCGCUCUCUUAUUACUGGUUAUCGCUCUCUUGCUAUUCAGCUUCAUCUCUCACCCCUCCUCCCCUGUCAAUGGCGUUGGUGGCAAUUGUUCUUUCAAGUAUGCACACGUUUAUUCAUUCCUUGCCUUGCUUUAUUAUUUUUUUUAAUGAAUUAUUUUGUUUUGGCUUGUAAUUCAAACUUAGACUUUUUGUCAAAUGAUGAUGCAUUGAUUUAUUCAGCACUGAUCGAUAUAUAUAUAGGCAGCAAUAAGUAAUGUGCGGAUUAUAUGUCAGAGAGUUACUUGCAGUAGUACACCACCAAGCGAGGAGAGGAUCAAGAUGUUGAAAUUGGACCAAUUAAGCUCCAUAAGAGAUUUAGAUGGAGGAGAAAAAGCGUUGAUCAGCGUCAGUGUAAUGGGGCAAUGGACCCAAGAGCCAUUCCUAUUUCUUUCAUGACGAGCGGCACCCGCCUUAAUCCCUCGCCGGCGAAGAUUGAGGUUUGUUUCUUCGAAGCAUCCAACAACGCUUGUUGUUCUCUUAGGCACGACGGACACAUUCCCGCACAUCUUAUGUAUUUGUAUUUGAUCGAUCAUUCAUUUGAAAUUCUUUUCGUUUGGGCAUUUUCACAAACAGCUUAUGCUCAGUGGUUUUAGAAUCGACGAAAGUGAUAUUGUCAGUUGGUCUUGGAGUGAUUUACAUAUGGAUACUUUUUUUUUUUUACUUACUUCCCUUCCAUCGCAUUCCAAUUCCAAUGGAUAGCUGUGAGCUCCGCCUGUUAUUCAUCAUCAACCAGUUUAGGUGUUCUAUACUGAAUUGGGCACAUGAUCCGAAUUAGAUCUAAUCUAUCUGUUUUCUCUGUUGCCCUACUCAUCCGUCAGAAUUUAUACUCUGGCAAUCACAGUCGUAUAGUUGAGCAGCCACCGACCGCUGCUCUCAAUGUCUCGAAGCCUUCAGGGUCUGCAGCUUUUCCGGCUCCACCACAAUUUGGUUUCUCAGUCCUGUUUUCCUCUUCAUCCCGCACCACAAAGGUUGGAGUGUCAACUGAUGCCUCAACUCUGGGUUUUGAUGAAACUUCAGGCGGUCAUGAGGAGGAGGAGUUGGAUGACCUUGACAAGAAUAAUCAUAACCACCUUAGUCAGUUGGGCCUAAGGGAUGAUGGCCUUGCCCGAGAUGUUAAAACCAUGUUGGACAUAUUACGAGCAGCAGGUUAUAGACCAUCUGAAAUUAAAUUUAAUCUCGAGCACUGCAAUGUUACUGUAUCAUCAGAGUUGGUUGUGGAGGUUCUUUCAAGAAUUAGGAAUGAUUGGGAAGCGGCUUUCACUUUUUUCCUGUGGGCAGGCAAGCAACCGAAUUAUGUUCAUUCUGUUCGCGAGUACCACUCCAUGAUUCAUAUCCUUGGUAAAAUGAGGAAGUUUGAUACUGCUUGGACCUUAAUUGAGGAAAUGAGACAAGGUAGUACUGGCCCGUCUCUUGUCACCCGUCAAACUCUCUUGAUUAUGAUUAGGAGAUAUUGUGCUGUUCGUGAUGUUGGAAAGGCUAUAAGUACUUUCUAUGCUUAUAAACGAUUCAACUUUCAAGUUGGAAUGGAAGAAUUUCAAGGCCUUCUUUCUUCCCUUUGUCGGUACAAGAAUGUGGAAGAUGCUGAGCAUCUUCUUUUCUGCAACAAAAAUGUAUUCCCGUUCAACACCAAAAGCUUUAACAUUAUUCUAAAUGGAUGGUGUAAUGUAAUUGUUAGCCCACGUCAAGCGGAGAGAAUUUGGCUGGAGAUGGGCAAGAGAGGAAUCCAAUAUGAUGUUGUCUCCUAUGCAAGUAUCAUGUCCUGCUAUUCAAAGGCUUCUAAACUUUACAAGGUAUUCAGGCUGUUUGACCAGAUGAAGAAAACAAAGGUCACUCCAGAUAGGAAAGUUUAUAAUGCAGUCGUUCAUGCUCUCGCAAAGGGUAGGUUUGUGAAAGAAGCUGUCAAUCUCCUGAGAACAAUGGAAGAUGCCAACAUUUCUCCAGAUGCUGUUACUUACAAUUCCUUAAUUGGUCCUCUAUGCAAAGCCCACAAAAUUGAUGAAGCUAAAGCAAUUUUAGAUGAGAUGUUGCAGCGGGGUCUGUCCCCUACUAUUCGGACUUAUCAUGCCUUCUUCCGUAACCUAAGGACCAAGGAAGAAAUAUUUGAGCUUCUGAACAAGAUGAGGGAACAGGGCUGCUACCCAACCACUGAGACUUAUCUAAUGUUGAUAAGAAAGUUUAGUCGAUGGCAACAGCUUGAUAUUGUCUUUAAGUUAUGGAGUGAGAUGAGUGAAAGUGGAGUCAACCCUGAUCGUAGCUCUUACAUUGUACUGAUUCAUGGGCUAUUUCUGAAUGGAAAGCUGGAAGAAGCAUACAAAUAUUAUAAUGAGAUGCAGGAGAAAGGCUUCCUCCCAGAACCAAAAACAAAUGAAAUGCUACAAGCUUGGCUUUCUGGAAAACAGGUAGCGGAGGACCAGAUGACUGAUUUAGAGUGGAAAAAAUUAGAGAGUGAUUCUCUUAGAUUAAGAAAGAAUAUCAAGGAUAUACCUAAUAAACCAGAGAAGGAGAAAGAUUUUCUUCGCCAACCCGAGAUCAGGAGAGUAAAAAGAGAGAGGGGUUUUUCUUUUUGGGAUCAGUAGAGCCGCAUGUUGCAGUUGGUCCCCAAUGACACGGUUUUGUCCUUGACGAUUUUCACUGUUGUUUACCAAUCUUAUCAAGUUCAUAGGAUAUCCAUAAGGUUGCAAUUGGACUUAUAGUUGAUUUUGCUGAUCAGCUGAAUGGAGGCAAUGAACAUUAGUGCAAAUGAGCAGAUGGCAAUUAUGCCUCUCUGUAUACAGCUUGCGACAUGUCGAACAUGCUUUUAACAUUGGAACAGAGGUGGAGCCCACCCUGUGUUGGGACAUCUGUGUUACAAUGAAAAAGAUUAAAAGAACACGAGAUCAAGUUCCAGACAUGUCUGUGACAUGGCUAAAGAUGAUUCACAUCUGACGAAGUUCUUUGACAUCAAAUUGGGAUAUGAAAGAGGCUUCCAAUUGUUAAAGUAGCCCGUAGUUACUAUGUGAAUGACUACUGAAGGAGUAGGUGAUGAUGCAGCAGAAAACAUACACUACAUGGUUCAUUUUACAACAUUUCAUCGAGUUCGGAUGUGGAAAAGCAUUUUAAAUCUCCACAAAUAGAGGCAUUCGUUGGACCAUAAUGGUCAAAUACUGCAUGUGGAUGGGGACUAGGGACUGUCAAACUUGCAGCAAUUACAAAAGAAUGAGGUUGAAAUUAUGUGAACAAGUUACCUACGACGACCUCGUCUGAGGGCAUCUUUAUGGAAUAAACUGUCAGAACUCGGUGAUGCAAACCUUAGCAACCUGCUGUUUCUUACCUCACAGCUGACCCAAUACCCCAUUAGUGAAGUAAAGGUAUUCCUGCAUGAAACCCCAAAAGGGUAUGGAGACUCCCCAUCUGAGAGAAAUCAUGACCUAAUAAAAAGCAUCUUUUGUUUGAGGGACAUUAAUAUGAGGAGAAAAAAGUCAAGAGUUGUGGAUAAUCAUCACUUUCUUCAUUGGUUUAUCUCAUCCACCUUUUUUCUUUAUGAUUCAUUGAAAGAUGAAAGACCCAGCUCUUUGUGGCCAAUUAAGUUUGGCAGUUUCUGCCUUCCGGUCCAGAGAACCAGGACAGGACCUCCCCAUCCCUUUGAAUGUCAGUCUACCCCCCUUUUGGGACUCUCUUUUAAGCCUUUCUUUCUAUUUCCAGAAACAUUGUUCUACUCCACUUGAGCCUUACCCUACAGCUGGCGGAGAGAAGUAUAUGUCGCUUUUCUUUCUAUUUAUUAUAUAUUUAUCAUCACUAUGUAAUUACCCAGACACCCAAAUGU